UUUUUUUUUGUUCUUUUUAGUUUUUCCCAACCCUUACUUUUUUUUCUUUACACCUUUCAACGUCUACUUUUAUAAAAGAAAAACUUUUUUAAAAUUUUUCUUUGAUUUUAUUUUUUCUUUUCUUUUUUUCAUUUUAGAUUUUUUUCGAUCUUUAUUUUUGUUUAAUAUUUUUUUAUCAACCUUUAUUUUUUUCCUAUUCUCUCUCAACUUCUACAUUUUCUUUGAUUUUUAUUUUUU
rnacentral:lncRNA from 1 species